UCAAUGCUAAGCUUGGAGAUUUCGGUCAGGCUCGUACCAUCCUAAAGACUGACCAAACUCACCAUUCAGCAAAAGAGAUUGCAGGAACCCCAGGCUAUAUGGCUCCACAGAGUAUUCUUAUAGGCAGAGCAACUGUUGAGACAGAUGUUUAUGCAUUUGGGGUUCUAGUCAUGGAAGUUGUUUGUGGAAGAAAACACGGUAAAUCAGGAAAACAAUUUUUUCCUAAUCAGAAAAAAUCAGGUAAUUGUUUAUAUAUACAUAUGGUAUUAUCUUAAACAGUAACAAUAAGUGGUAUUCCCAAUUCCCACUCUUGAACUUGAGAACCGCGCCAGUUGGACCACUACAAGUACCAAAACACGUGACUAGGAGGGGCCUUCAUUUCAUUCCCAUCUUCUACCGCAAGAAAUUGCAUAGAGGGAGAGAAAUGAAGACGAGAGGGUAUCGCAGAUCGACAUUGCUGAUUGCUGAGGGCGUUUCCUUGGUCUAUGAAGGAAUCUCCGAAAUUCGGUGUACUUGACAAGACUCGCUCAUUUUUUUAUGAACGACAUUAGCAGCAACAAUAAAGCACUUUCGUUUCCUUCUCUCAUAACCCUAACCUCUGUCUCCGAUCUCAAGGAUCUUGUCUCUUCGCGCCUCGAAGAUCUGAGGAUAAAUCUCAUCGAUCGGUCGCACGUAGAGAUUCUCAAGGACGCGGAAACCUCCUACUCUCGCCGCCACAAACGCUAAGAUAUGAUAAAAGCAUCUCAGCAAAUGAUGGAUGAAACAGGGAGAAUAUAAGAAGAUCAAUGGGCAGAUCAGUGAAACUCAGGAAACAAUGAAGGAAAUUGAUGGUCUCAAAAGGUGUUAUGGAACUUCAUCAACAUAGGGUUAUCUAGACCAAGCUACUACAGAGAAAUUCCUUAAGUAUGUAGAUGUAUCAUUGUAUAUGUAUCUAGCUCAGGAGAUCUAACAGAUAGCUGAGAAGGCAUCCUUGUUAGUUAGUUGAGAAGAAAGUAAUCUGCUAGCAUAUGGCUCUAGCCUCUAAGUAAGUUGACAAGGCCUUAGUGCUAUUGACUGGCUCUACCUCACUUCAUUCUAAGCCAACCGAUUCUUCACAACCCUACCCAAUGAUGUCUCCAAGUUUUUCAUACCUGUGUUGGACGUGUGUACAUAUGUAACCAUGUAGACACAUAAAUCUAAUCCUAUGGAACAUUAUACUCAAUGUCUUGUCUU